rnacentral:rRNA from 1 species
GAUGAACGCUAGCGGCAGGCUUAACACAUGCAAGUCGAGGGGCAGCGGGAGUAGCAAUACUUGCCGGCGACCGGCGCAAGGGUGCGUAACGCGUGAGCAACAUGCCCGUAUCAGGGGGAUAAUCCAUGGAAACGUGGUCUAAUACCCCAUAGUAAUUAUGUAAGGCAUCUUAUAUAAUUUAAAGCUUUGGUGGAUACGGAUUGGCUCGCGUGACAUUAGCUAGAUGGUAAGGUAACGGCUUACCAUGGCUACGAUGUCUAGGGGUUCUGAGAGGAAGGUCCCCCACACUGGAACUGAGACACGGUCCAGACUCCUACGGGAGGCAGCAGUGAGGAAUAUUGGACAAUGGAUGGAAAUCUGAUCCAGCCAUGCCGCGUGCAGGAAGACGGCCCUAUGGGUUGUAAACUGCUUUUGUAUGGGAGCAAUAAGGUCUACGUGUAGACCGAUGAGAGUACCAUACGAAUAAGCACCGGCUAACUCCGUGCCAGCAGCCGCGGUAAUAC